GACGAACGCUGGCGGCGUGCUUAACACAUGCAAGUCGAACGGAGUGGCGAACGGGUGAGUAACACGUGGGUGACCUGCCCUGCACUUCGGGAUAAGCCUGGGCAACUGGGUCUAAUACCGGAUAGUGUGGGAUGGGCCCGGGGCCUAUCAGCUUGUGGGGGGGGUAAUGGCCUACCAAGGCGGCGACGGGUAGCCGGCCUGGGAGGGUGGACGGCCUCAAUGGGACUGAGAGAGGGCGCAGACUCGAACGGGAGGCAGCAGUGGGGAGUAUUACCCAGUCGGCGGGAGUCUGAUGCAGAGACGCCGGGGGUGGGAUGACGGUCUAGGGGUGGUGAACGCCUUGAAGCAACGACGCGGUAGAUGGAGAAGAAGCACCGGCUAACUACGUGCCAGCCGCCGCGGUAAUUC
rnacentral:rRNA from 1 species